rnacentral:rRNA from 1 species
AACGAACGCUGGCGGCGUGGAUAAGACAUGCAAGUCGAACGGGAUUACUUCGAGUAGCAAUACCUGAAGUAAUUUAGUGGCGAACGGGUGCGUAACACGUGGGGAAUCUGCCGAGAAGUGGGGGAUAGCUCGUCGAAAGGCGAAUUAAUACCGCAUAUGAUCAGGGAAGACAUCUUUCCAACAUCAAAGCCGGGGCAACCUGGCGCUUCUUGAUGACCCCGCGGCCUAUCAGCUAGUUGGUGAGGUAACGGCCCCACCAAGGCGAUGACGGGUAGCUGGUCUGAGAGGAAACGCCAGUCACACUGGAACUGAGACACGGUCCAGACACCGUACGGGUGGCAGCAGUCGAGUAAUUUUUCUCAAGUGGGGCAACCCUGAAGGAGCGA